rnacentral:misc_RNA from 1 species
GUGGAGGAAACAAACAAAAGACUGUAAGUUGAACUAACGUUCCUUACGCCAUUUUUGGGAGAGGAUGUGAAGCACAGAUCCGAAAAUCAGCCUGUUUCUGUUUGGUCUUCUUACGAAUCCUUCGUCGAAAAAGGAAUUUAUUUAUUUUUUUUGAAAAACCCGAGUAAAACGCAAGCAACAAGCAAAAACAAACACGCCACU